AACAAAUAUGCAGAUCAACAAAUACAUUAGAUACCAAUCUGACAAAAAUUUAAAAUGUAUUUACAUUUUGUUCUAUCUGUCCUCUUUAAAUAUUGGACUUACAAAGUUACAGAAGAAACAGUUGCUUAGAGGGAAGGCUAAAUACAAAUGUUUACGUUCGUUCAGCUAAGACACACACUGAACGGCUUAAUGAACUAAACUUUAAGACGCUACUGGAUCAGCUACCCUCUGGCCAUCAGUUCUACAUUUCUGGAAACGGCAGAGUCAGAAAGCAACAAAAUGACAGUGCCAGCUCUUGUUUGCGAUCCAAACAAGAGCUGGCAACUGUUGUGAAAAUCGGUAUAGAGUGGUGAGAUCUUUCCAGGUUCAUGCAGAAAACAGAUCAUAAAGGCCCGAGAGACAUAAGUGACCUUGCAUUUUGAUUUACUGAUGAUUAACAAAUAUAUAUAUUCUUGCAUUUUAAUUGCUGGUUGAUUAUAAGAAAUGUAUUCUUGUAUUUUGAUUUAUCAAUGAUUAUAAAAAUAAGGAUUUUUUGUACUUUGAUUUACUGAUGAUUAUACAAAGAGUUGAUGUAAUAAAAACAUUAUAAGAAAUGAAUAACAUGAUGAGUAAAUGGUGAAUAGAAUUAAAACUCAGAUGAUUAUUAUAAGAAGUUAUGUUUGCAUUAAAACAGAAGGUUAAUUAUGUUUAAUGAUUUAUGAUGAUCAUACAGCACACAGAAUGGUAACUGAAGUAAUAACACAUUUUGUGAAGUGAAGUGACAUACUGUUCCCAGACUGUGUUAUAAUUAGAGCAGAAGUCAGGGCCAGAGCUGAGUGGGUAGGCAGGGGAGUUCCAAAGAGGAAGUAAAGUGUUUUCUUCUAAACUAGAUUGAGGAAGUAAAACCAGACGGUCAGUGGACAACAGCAAAAAGGGGAAGUAAGCAAGGCAUUGACUGCUGUGAGAAGAUUUGGUGCAUUCCACAGAGCCAUCGAACGUUCGAGAAGUCCCAUACACAACCAUGGGAUGAGAGAGUAUAAAAUCCCAUGAAAAAGAGGAAGAAGUCUUCUUAGUCCGCGGUGCUGAAGUCAAGCCAACAAGAGGACGCAGACAGAAGAUAAGCAGACGACCGCACCCUGGAGCCACAGGGAAGUUGAGACUCCGCACUACUAGAAGGGUACAUCAACCCUCAGCCAUGGUUUCUGAUUCGACUGCCUACUCUGCCUCAAACCAAAGAUCUCAAGGCUACUGCAACAGACUUGGGGAAAAGACAAAGGUCACUGUGUGAUGAAGAUCUGUGAGUUCGAAAGACAGCAACCAGUUCUGCCUUGCUUCUAUUCUGAAGAGGAUUUUGCUGUACAAAGGGAAAGUUGCCGAGUUCAUUCAUUAUCUGGGUAUGAGCUGAACUGCACCCCAAAGCCUUGCUCAGUAAAUUAGUGACACUGGUUAGGGAAAAAGUCAGGAUAGAAUGAAGAUGGUUUAUAAUGAUUUUAAUUUUUAUUCUUAAUCUGUAAUCAUUGAUAAUUAAUCUGUCUGCCACUUACCCCUUCUAAAAGCUUGCUUAAUAAAGAUGCAUUAAAAUUCUAAUAAGAUUUGUGGACAGUGAAAUUAAUUGAGUCAUCUAUUAUUUUAUGGUUCUCCUAAUUAGUGUAAAAUCUAUGAACAUGAUUCUAGAAAUGUGGUGGUUUCAGAAAUUCCUUUAUUGUUGGUAAAAUAAUGACCCUGGGACUUAUGUUGAGCCACUAAAAACUAUCUAGUCUGUAACAAGUGCACAUUGUUGAUAGAGGGAGAGCUACCAUUAACAAGAGUGGUUAUUGAAGUUAUGCAGUUGUGAGGGCUACUCAUCUGAUUGCUUCUUAACUGAAAAGGGUCAUAACUCUUGGAUUGUAGAUAGUUAAAGGCUAAAUGAAUCUCUCUCGAUGCCAGCUUAGACAGAUUAUCUCUCUUAGACCUGCUUCAGGGUAAGACUUGAAGGUUUAGAGAUUUUCCAUUUAGAUGGAGAGCUGGUCAGUAGUCAGUCCUUGGGAGUUGUGAGAUUUAGGGCGGGGCUGGCUAUUGUGCAAUAACACAAUGGAGCUGAAUUGGUACUGUUGAUAACAAUAUGGAAUUGUCAGAUGAGGUUUGAAGUUCCCCAGCUCAGCCUGUAAGUUAUGUUCAAUAUACUCUUGUACAUUGGAAUGUAAAUGGAUGGACCGAAACAAACUCAGAACUUAGACAGUUAAUACUGAGGAGUUUUAAUCCAGACUUUAUUUCACUUAAUGAGACUCAUCUAACUAGACAAAACACAAUUAAAUUUGAUGGUUACACUUUGGACAGAAUAAAAAGAUGCAUAUUAGAGCUAAGAAAGGUUCUGGUGGGCUCGGAGUUUUUAACUCGGAAUUGAGUUAACAACUCAAUUCUGUUGCAAUAUCGUGUUUUUUUCUGUUGAUAAAUGUAUUAAUCGUAUUGUUUGUAUUCAGUUAAAGCAUGUAAAAAAUACUCUUUAGCUUUGAUUUCAUGUUAUCUUCCUCUGGAAGGAUUUAACUGGUCUUAUCCACAUAGAUUAUAUAAUGAUCUUCUGGUUAAAAUCUACAAUCUGGUCGAAAUGGAUGCCAUCUAUGUUUGUGGGGAGUUAAUAGUCAAUUUGGACGUUUAGAAAAUUGUAUUAAUGAAAUUGAUGUGGAUAUUCCGGUUAGAAUGUGUACAGAUGAGACUGUCAGCAAACAAGGGAAAAUUUUAAUUGAUAUUUUGAAAGACACUAAGUGCUGUGUGGUAAAUGGUCGAAUAAAUGUGAAUAAUAAUUUCACUUCAGUAUUGGUAAAAGGAAAAGCGGUUGUGGAUUAUAUUAUCACUACUUACAACUGUUUACGCACCUCUGUUAAUUUAGAUAUACUCCAAAUGAAUUAAUAGAGAGGGGUGGUAAAAAGUGACUUGAUUUACUGGACCAUUUUUGUAAAAUACUUGAUCACUCUUUAUUAGUUCUUACUUUUAGGGUCAAGGAAACAUUAGUCCUACACAUGGUGAGGGACAUCCUAACUUAAAUUCAAAAUGUUGCUUUAGAAAAUUUUUAUCAUGCCCCGUUUCAAAUGCCUCAUUGCAAUUUGUGGCUGGCACAUUUGUAGAACGACUUAAGCAUGUCAAUUAUCAAAAUUCGCUGAAUGUAUGGUAUGAUGAUUUUUGUAAUUAUGUUUAUGAUGCUAUAAGAUUCAGUAAAAAAGUUAUUAGUGGUAAUAAGAGACAAGACAAAAAAAAUUAUUUUAUUGGAACGAGGAAUUAAAAGUGUUCUAGAAUGACCUAGAAUGACUUAAAACUAGCUGAGAAAAGAUUUUUCUGAUAUUUUGAUAAGGAUUUGAGGACUUAUAUACGAGAUCAGGCAGUAAAGAAUGACUUUAAUCAAACUCACAACCUGCAGGAAUUUUGGAACUUGAUCAACCAAUUAGGGCCCAGAAAAACAAAAACAUCUCCUUGGACGUGGUUCAGGAGGAUGGCUCUGUAUGUCUUGAUAUUAACAAUGUUUUGCAUUGGUGGCAAGCUGACUUUGGAGACUUAUUUUCUGGUAGUUUCGUCUCUCCUGAAUGGGAUUAUUCUUAUUUAGAAAGGACAAUAUCUAUUAAGAAUCAAAUUGAAAGUUUUAUGUGAAUGAGUUUCUCAAAUCUUCAAUUAAACUUUUAUAUUUCAGAAAAUGAACUCCAUAAAGCCAUUGAUAAGUUAAAAUUUGGGAAGGCUAUGGGUUAUGAUAAUUAGUCAAAUGAAGUCUUAAAACAACCUGGAUUAUUUCAGAUUUUAUUCAGUCUUUUCUUCAAUCUUUUUUCACAUGUUUUGAACAGGGUUUAGUCCCAUCUGAUUGGCAAAAAUUUAUAAUUAAACCAAUCCCAAACUACUGACCCUCGAGUACCUAUGAACUACAUACUAGAGGAGCAUUAGCUUACUUAGUUGUGUUUAUAAACUUUACUCAAGAGCUCUAAAUGAAAGAUUAAUUAAGUACUUAGAGUCUUGUAAAAAGAGGAACAGAAUGGGUUUAGAAAAAACGAGCCUGUAUAGAUCAUAUAUAUUCCUUAACCACAAUAGUUAAUGCAAGGACACAAGAAGUAAAGUCUACUUUUGCGUGUUUUCCAAAAAGCUUUUGAUUGUGUUAUUUUUUCAGUUAUUAAAAGCAGGAAUUGAUGAAAAAUUUGAUAAUUCUAUAAAAGCUGUUUAGCAAAACUCAGAAUCUUGUGUUCAGGUGAACGACAACAGAACACGAUGGUUUUUAACACCAUUUGGUGUUAAGGAGAUGUUCUGUCUCCCACUCUCUUCACAUUAUGUAUAAAUGACUUGGUAAUGGUAAUUAAAGAGGUAAAUUCAGGAGUGAGAGUCGGUGAGACAAACGUUUGCAGUUGAAAGUGAACCAGAUUUACAGAAAUUGUUAUAUAUCACUUAUGGUCAGUGU